rnacentral:rRNA from 1 species
GCAGCCGCGGUAAUACGGAGGGUGCGAGCGUUAAUCGGAAUUACUGGGCGUAAAGCGCAUGCAGGUGGUUUGUUAAGUCAGAUGUGAAAGCCCCGGGGCUCAACCUCGGAAUUGCAUUUGAAACUGGCAAACUAGAGUACUGUAGAGGGGGUAGAAUUUCAGGUGUAGCGGUGAAAUGCGUAGAGAUCUGAAGGAAUACCGGUGGCGAAGGCGGCCCCCUGGACAGAUACUGACACUCAGAUGCGAAAGCGUGGGGAGCAAACAGGAUUAGAUACCCUGGUAG